UACGGGGGGAGCAAGCGUUGUUCGGAUUUACUGGGCGUAAAGGGCGCGUAGGCGGCCACCGCAAGUCGACUGUGAAAUCUCCGGGCUUAACCCGGAAAGGUCAGCCGAUACUGCGGGGCUAGAGUGCAGAAGGGGCAACUGGAAUUCUCGGUGUAGCGGUGAAAUGCGUAGAUAUCGAGAGGAACACCUGCGGCGAAGGCGGGUUGCUGGGACGGUACUGACGCUGAGACGCGAAAGCGUGGGGAGCAAACAGG
rnacentral:rRNA from 1 species